GGUUUUCUCCGGCCCAGGCCCCGCCCUCGCCCCGGGCGGCCAAUCCCCGGGCGCCCUGCUCGAGGCCCCGCCUCCGGCCUGCCGUGAGAAGCUGCGCCCCCAAAGGAGCCGGGAGCGAGUGCCGGGCCCCGUGAGACCGGAGGAAAAUCAGGGCGGCGGGCGCGAGGGAGGCAACGUGCGGGAUCCAGCCGGCUCCCGCUGCGCUAGCACGCGGCCCCAGCGGUGGCUGCGGGGGUCACCGGGUCUCCGAUCCGCGUGGGAGGAUCUGUCCGUCUCUGCCGAGUCUUAGAUCCGCGUGAGAGACCUGUCCGUGUCUUCUGGGUCUCAGAUCCUCGUGGGGGACCUGUCAUAUCUGCGGUGGGUGGGGGGGGUGUCAGAUCCGCGGUGGGUUUAGGGACACCCAUCCUUGUCUGUCCACCUCGCCGCCGGGCCUCCCUAGGCAUUCUCUGUGUAGAGUCCUGGGUCCCCUGGCCUCGCUGACCGCUGCCUGCCUAACUGGCUUCUCCUCUGGGAGAACCUCUGACCCUAAGGAACCUGCCAAGGAACCCGAUGAGGCCACCGCCAUUACCCCGAGGCCCGGCUCUGUGCUCUGCUCAUGCGCUGGAGACGUUGAUUGUUCUUACUUGGUUACAUCCAAAGUAUUGUCCUGGGUUAUACAUUUUCCCAUCAUUGUAUCCAUAAACAAAGGCACCCCUCCCCGCCAUAAAAUGUGGCAUUUGUCUUUGGGGCAAAAUAUCCCUUUUGCGACAACACCCACACCGUGGAAAGCAAGUGCUGCUCCCCCAGAGGCAUAACCAAGCCAGAAGCCUCUGGAACAAGCUUGCCCCUGUCACCCAGUCAGCCAGUCAUCUCCUCCCGGAGCUGUGAAAUGGAACCAUCCCACCGCUGCUCCAUGAGCCACCCCAAACCGGUUCCCGGUCCUUAUCCAGACGCUGUACAAUUCUUGCCCAGAGUCUCUCACGGAGACACCGUCAGCUGACAGCUGAGUCGAGUAUCAUCGGAAGGUUCUGGCUGGGCAUCCAGGAUGACGUCUUUAUUCACACGUCUACAUUUCAGCUAGAAGGGUGGAAGCAUUGGGCAUAGCUCAGGCUGCCUCCGAACACAUGAUUUCUCAUAAGUGAGCACUCAAGACACGAAAUAGAAGCCAAUCUCUUAAAGCUUGUAUAUGGACUCUGGCAAAGCCUUGCUCUAUUGCUAAUGGCCAAGCACACAGAACCCAGCCAAACCAAGGCGGGAAGAGGAGGAACACUGGUCCCACCUUUAGAUGGAAAUGGUGCCAAAGAAUCUGUGACCAUCAUUCUUUAAAAGUGAGAGAAACAAAGUUUCACAUGCAUCUUCACAAAGAUCGCACAGCCCAUAAUAGACAGUACCAUACAUCUGCAGGUGAUCCGUGAUACUUAAAACCAACUAAGUGAGCGCUGGGGAAAUAGCUCUGUUGGCAAAGUGUUUUGUGAGAAGCAUGAAGACCUGAGUUCAAGCCCUGGCAGCACCCACGUAAAAAAAAAAGAAAGAAAAAAAAGGAAAAGAAAAGAAAAACCCAGGCAUCGUGGCACACACCUACAAUCCAGGCCCUGGAGAAAUGAAGACAGGAGGCACUCCAUCUUGGGGCUUGCUGUCCAGACAGUCUCACAGAAUCAGCUCUAUGUUCAGUGAGAAAUUAUGUGUCAAAAAAUGAGAUGGUGAAUGAUUGAAAGAGACACCCACAUAGACUUCUGACCUCCACGGGGUUGCUCACACACAUGUGCGUGCACCCACCCACAUGUACCCACACAUAAAGACAUGCAUACAUGAAUAGCCAGAAGAUGGUAUGUUGCCAAGUGAUGUGCUCACACUCUCUCCCUUCCUCUCUGUCUCUCUCUCUUCCUCUGCUCCCUCUCUCUUUCUUAAAUAAAGAUAAGAGGAUGGGAGAUUAAAAUAGGAGGGACUUGGGGGGAGUAAAGACAGAAAUAUUUUGCUAAGUUUUGAUUUUUGCCUCAGCAUCUGGAGUUUCUCUUUGAUCUCUAACGUCUAUCUUUGAUCUGAGAGCUUCCAGAGAUAAUUUGGUGUCUGGAAGUCCUUAGGAUCCCAGAAUGUAAAUUUAAUAAAUAUUUAUUUAACAUCUGGGCUGUGAGUCUGACAGGCACUGUGCUGGGCUGGGGCUUACUCUGGUGACUCCAGUUACAUUUAGCAUGGGAAGCCGAGAUGCAACCAAGCAAUUCUAAUGCAAUGUGAGAACACGCCUUGAUAAAAGAAACUCAGGUGUUACAGGAACACAGAGUAGGACUAAGGACCUAGACUGGGAUUCGAUAGGCUCUAGUUAAGGAAUGGCAGGGCUGGACGGUUGCACUGCUGUGUGUUGUACGUGUGUACGUAUCUGUAUGUGUAAGGAUGGGGGAGCUAGUUUGGAAGCAGCAUUUGCCCCUAGACAGAGGAAGCUGGUAAAUAUCUGUGCACUGGGGAAUCAGAACAAGAGCAUAAGACAAAGGCCUCACUCCCAGUGAGGAGAACUCAUCAUGGAACAGAGACCCAGGGGACAGGGAGCAGAGCACAGGAGAAUUCUAAGGACUCACACACAUUGUCAGAAUCAGAGAAGCUGAUGUGAUCCCCUUCUUCCCCAGGGUACAUGUCCAUGGGAGCUAGAUGAGUGUUGCUCUGCCCAUAUCCCCAAGGGUUGCUUCUAAUUUGAUGUGUGUCAAAGUACGUGGGCUUUCUCCAAGAGUUGUAAUUUUAUUUGAUUAUUUAUUUUGAGGCUUAUUUAUAUGUGGAUCUAGCAAAUAGACACAUCUUUGGCUAUUGUAAGCAAAACAUGAUUAGUUUUAUCAUUAUCAAGGGUUUUCUUAUUAUGAAAACAUAAUAAUUAGAAAGAGCUAGGACCACAGUCAAGAAUUCAGGGGCUGCACCUACAAUAUCUUUCCUCUCUCUUCCUAGCUUGUCCCCCCGCACCCCCCUCCAUCUCUUAUUGUACAUCUACCUUUAAAAAAAAAAAAAAGAAAAUCUAGGGAAGAUACAGAGGUGAACACAGUCAAAGUACAGGUUAUCUGUGGAUGAAGAUG